AACGAACGCUGGCGGCAGGCCUAACACAUGCAAGUCGAGCGAGGUAGCAAUACCUAGCGGCGGACGGGUGAGUAACGCGUGGGAACGUACCCUUUGCUACGGAAUAGCCCCGGGAAACUGGGAGUAAUACCGUAUGUGCCCUUCGGGGGAAGAUUUAUCGGCAAAGGAUCGGCCCGCGUUGGAUUAGGUAGUUGGUGGGGUAAUGGCCUACCAAGCCGACGAUCCAUAGCUGGUUUGAGAGGAUGAUCAGCCACACUGGGACUGAGACACGGCCCAGACUCCUACGGGAGGCAGCAGUGGGGAAUCUUAGACAAUGGGCGCAAGCCUGAUCUAGCCAUGCCGCGUGAGUGAUGAAGGCCUUAGGGUUGUAAAGCUCUUUCAGAUGGGAAGAUAAUGACGGUACCAUCAGAAGAAGCCCGGCUAACUCCGUG
rnacentral:rRNA from 1 species